CCUACGGGAGGCAGCAGUGGGGAAUCUUGCGCAAUGGGCGAAAGCCUGACGCAGCGACGCCGCGUGAGGGAUAACGGCCUUCGGGUUGUAAACCUCUUUCAGCGCCGAAGAAGCGAAAGUGACGGUAGGCGCAGAAGAAGCACCGGCUAACUACGUGCCAGCAGCCGCGGUAAUACGUAGGGUGCGAGCGUUGUCCGGAAUUAUUGGGCGUAAAGAGCUUGUAGGCGGUCUGUUGCGCCUGCUGUGAAAACUCGGGGCUCAACUCCGAGCGUGCAGUGGGUACGGGCAGACUAGAGUGUGGUAGGGGAGACUGGAAUUCCUGGUGUAGCGGUGAAAUGCGCAGAUAUCAGGAGGAACACCGAUGGCGAAGGCAGGUCUCUGGGCCACUACUGACGCUGAGAAGCGAAAGCAUGGGGAGCGAACAGGAUUAGAUACCCUGGUAGUCCAUGCCGUAAACGUUGGGCGCUAGGUGUGGGACUCAUUCCACGAGUUCCGUGCCGCAGCUAACGCAUUAAGCGCCCCGCCUGGGGAGUACGGCCGCAAGGCUAAAACUCAAAUGAAUUGACGGGG
rnacentral:rRNA from 1 species